rnacentral:lncRNA from 1 species
CUUGUGAACUUAUGUUAGACUAAGUGUGUAUAACUUAUUAGGACGGACCUAAGAAUGAUGUAUGAAUCUCAGUUUAUAUUUAUACAAUUGAUUUGCCCCUUAUGUUUCCUUGUUUAGAUUUAUUCUAUUGAACCUCAGUUGAAUUGAAUUGAAUUUAGAAAGAUAAGAUUUAAAACUUGAUUCACUAGGACUUAGAUUGAAUGGUUAAGGCCGCAGAUCAGUUUGGGCUUAAGAGCCGGGAUCGGGUCUUACAAGUUGGUAUCAGAGCAAGCUUGAUUCUAGGAUUGGUUUGGGUUAUGUGUUCACCACACAUCCGACUGCUGGGUCUCACGGGUUGUUUGUGUUUGUUUAGUUUGAUGUUGUUUUGCUUAGUUCUAAUCAUGAGAUGAGGUUUAUACG